GCGGCGGACGGGUGAGUACACGUGGGUAACCUACCUAUAAGACUGGGAUAACUCCGGGAAACCGGGGCUAAUACCGGAUAAUAUUUUGAACCGCAUGGUUCGAUAGUGAAAGACGGUUUCGGCUGUCACUUAUAGAUGGACCCGCGCCGUAUUAGCUAGUUGGUAAGGUAACGGCUUACCAAGGCGACGAUACGUAGCCGACCUGAGAGGGUGAUCGGCCACACUGGAACUGAGACACGGUCCAGACUCCUACGGGAGGCAGCAGUAGGGAAUCUUCCGCAAUGGGCGAAAGCCUGACGGAGCAACGCCGCGUGAGUGAUGAAGGUCUUCGGAUCGUAAAACUCUGUUGUUAGGGAAGAACAAAUUUGUUAGUAACUGAACAAGUCUUGACG
rnacentral:rRNA from 2 species